rnacentral:rRNA from 1 species
UGCAGUCGAGGGGUAUAGUUCUUCGGAAUUAGAGACCGGCGCACGGGUGCGUAACGCGUAUGCAAUCUACCUUUCACAGAGGGAUAGCCCAGAGAAAUUUGGAUUAAUACCUCAUAGUAUAUAGAGUUGGCAUCAACAUUAUAUUAAAGUCACAACGGUGAAAGAUGAGCAUGCGUCCCAUUAGCUAGUUGGUAAGGUAACGGCUUACCAAGGCGACGAUGGGUAGGGGUCCUGAGAGGGAGAUCCCCCACACUGGUACUGAGACACGGACCAGACUCCUACGGGAGGCAGCAGUGAGGAAUAUUGGACAAUGGGCGCAAGCCUGAUCCAGCCAUGCCGCGUGCAGGAUGAUGGUCCUAUGGAUUGUAAACUGCUUUUAUACGAGAAGAAACAACUCUACGUGUAGAGUCUUGACGGUAUCGUAAGAAUAAGGAUCGGCUAACUCCGUGCCAGCAGCCGCGGUAAUACGGAGGAUCCAAGCGUUAUCCGGAAUCAUUGGGUUUAAAGGGUCCGUAGGCGGUCAGAUAAGUCAGUGGUGAAAGCCCAUCGCUCAACGGUGGAACGGCCAUUGAUACUGUCUGACUUGAAUUAUUAGGAAGUAACUAGAAUAUGUAGUGUAGCGGUGAAAUGCUUAGAGAUUACAUGGAAUACCAAUUGCGAAGGCAGGUUGCUACUAAUUGAUUGACGCUGAUGGACGAAAGCGUGGGUAGCGAACAGGAUUAGAUAUCCUGGUAGUCCACGCCGUAAACGAUGGAUACUAGCUGUUGGGAGCAAUCUCAGUGGCUAAGCGAAAGUGAUAAGUAUCCCACCUGGGGAGUACGUUCGCAAGAAUGAAACUCAAAGGAAUUGACGGGGGCCCGCACAAGCGGUGGAGCAUGUGGUUUAAUUCGAUGAUACGCGAGGAACCUUAC